ACAGUGGAAGGUCAGAAUGGGGAAGGCACUACUGAAGUACUGAGCGCCGCCAACCCCAAGUGCUUGAAUCUGAAAGAGGCAAAGGCAGACCAAGUCACAGAGCAGAUAGCUGAGCUUUUCAAGACAUGCAGCUGGCACCUAUCUCUGUGGACGAAAUGAUGUGCUAACUGCCCGUCUUGCUCUCUGUGAGUCUUUCCCUCACAGGAGAGCGUGCCAAUGCGGAUGGUUCACUUGCAUCUACUCUAGCCAUGCUUUGCUUUUGAUGAUGCAGGGAUGAAGAAAGGCUUGGUGACUCUGUGCCCCACUGCGCGGAGAAGACGGGGAGAGAAGGAAGAAGAUGGGGACAUAAGGAGAAGACGGGGAACUGGCUGAUUUGAGAUUAAUAACAUCAAAAAUGUGCUUGGAGGGGGAAGAUUUUCAUUCUUUGUGAUGUCCGUAUAUGAAAUAGUAUUAAUAGGGUGGAUGCAAUUCUGAGAAUUCCUAAGCCUGCGUUAGUCCUGUUAGAUAACUCUUGCUUCUGCUAAUCAUACUCAGAGCCCUUUGGGAGAUCUAAUUUCUCUCUCUCUCUCUCUCUCUCUCUCUCUCUCUCUCCUUUACCAGUACAUCUUAGCCUUCAUUGUUAUAACUCCCUUUGUUCACAUAAAUGGGUUUGUUGCUCAUUCCUUUUACAAACUGCAGUACUCCACUAGCUGCCAUUUGGAGAGAAGGUAUUCUUGUUCUCUCUAUCGUUGAUUAUAAAUUGAGUUUUAAUCGUUGAUUAUAAACUUUGUUAUGAAGCCUCAAGAGACAAAGCAUGCCAGCUCUCCACCUCUUUGAGAGAAAGCUGCACAGAGUUACACAGCCAAGAGGAGAGGGGAAGAGAGCCUUCCCAACCUGGCCUGUACUCCUUCCUGGCUUCACCUCAUUCGCUCCAUAAUUCCUCAAAGGCUAAAACUAUUUUUUUUAAGAUUUUAUUUAUUUUAUGUAUGUGAGUACACUGUAGCUGUCUUCAGACACACCGGAAGAGGGCAUCUGAUCCUAUUACAGAUGGUUGUGUGUCACCAUGUGGUUGCUGGGAAUUGAACUCAGGACCUCUGGAAGAGCAAUCAGUGCUCUUAACCACUGAACCAUCUCUCUAGUUUGCUAAAACUUUUUUAAAAAUUCACUCCAUUACCCUUCCUACAAAGGGGGUUGGAGGCAGGGGCUACUGUCUUGGAGUAUUUUAACAAUUCAGUGACAUGGCCGAGAUUUUCAAAAGACCUCCCAAUUCAUGCUGUCCAACAGAAAUGUAAUGCAAGCCAUGUCUGUAAUUUAGACUUGCAAGUAGCCACACUUCCAAAAGGCAGAGAAGAAGCUGGGGAAAUUAAUUAUAAUAACACAUUUUCUUUAAUCUGAUGUAUCCAAAAUAUUAUCAUUUCAAGACCUAGUCACCAAAUCUAUGUUAAUGGAAUAUUUUACAUUUAUUUUCUUUCCUACUAAGUCUCUAAAAGCCAAUGUGGAUUUUACACACUGAGACAGUGCACUUUCAUAAGAAAUACUCACUUUAUAUUUAGCUUUGUCAAGACUUGCAGUUGAAAAAAAAUAGAUUCACAUACACAAGUUGUGCCAAAAGUACUUAAAUAUUUCCUAAAAUCUGAAUCAAGUAUAAGUGUUUUAAAUUUAAAAUAAUUAAGAUGAAAUAAACAUGGAAAG
ensembl:lincRNA Gm5860 predicted gene 5860